rnacentral:rRNA from 1 species
AUCGGGAGUAGACCAACAGGGAUUGCCCUAGUAACGGCGAGUGAAGCGGCAACAGCUCAAAUUUGAAAUCUGGCCUUCUGGUCCGAGUUGUAAUUUGUAGAGGAUGCUUUUGGUUAGGUACCUUCCGAGUUCCCUGGAACGGGACGCCUUAGAGGGUGAGAGCCCCGUACGGUUGGAUGCCGAGCCUCUGUAAAGCUCCUUCGACGAGUCGAGUAGUUUGGGAAUGCUGCUCUAAAUGGGAGGUAAAUUUCUUCUAAAGCUAAAUACCGGCCAGAGACCGAUAGCGCACAAGUAGAGUGAUCGAAAGAUGAAAAGCACUUUGAAAAGAGGGUUAAAUAGCACGUGAAAUUGUUGAAAGGGAAGCGCUUAUGACCAGACCUUUUCCAGGCGGAUCAUCCGGUGUUCUCACCGGUGCACUUCGCCUGGCUUAGGCCAGCGUCGAUUUUCGCAGGGGGAAAAAGGCUUCGAGAAUGUGACUCCCUCCGGGGAGUGUUAUAGCCCGUUGCGUAAUACCCUUGUGGGGAUCGAGGUUCGCGCUCUGCAAGGACGCUGGCAUAAUGGUCAUCAGUGACCCGUCUUGAAACACGGACCAAGGAGUCGAACAUUUGUGCGAGUGUUUGGGUGAUAAACCCUCACGCGUAAUGAAAGUGAACGGAGGUGAGAGCCCUUACGGGUGCAUCAUCGACCGAUCCUGAUGUCUUCGGAUGGAUUUGAGUAGGAGCAUAACUGUUCGGACCCGAAAGAUGGUGAACUAUGCGUGGAUAGGGUGAAGCCAGAGGAAACUCUGGUGGAGGCUCGCAGCGGUUCUGACGUGCAAAUCGAUCGUCAAAUCUGCGCAUGGGGGCGAAAGACUAAUCGAACCAUUAAACCAGCGGUAAAAAUACUUUACUAGGUGGUUAACAGGCGCCCUAGAGAGGGGCGCCUAGGUCGGCCCACCCGGGAGCUACCCUAGAGCUG